rnacentral:tRNA from 1 species
GUCGGCGUAGUCCAAUUGGUACGAGACCACUGGCCCAAACCCAGCGAGUUACCGGUUCGAAUCCGGUCGCCGAUA